ACGAACACUUAGACCACUUACAUUUCAUAACCUGAAAACUUGAACUCGAUUUCUGUUGAACACUUGAUUGAUCGCUCACCAACGUUUGAGCUCGAUUUCUAUUGAAUACAUGAGUGAUUUCUGUUGAACACUUGAACUCGUUUGAGUGAAGUUACACUCACUGAUCAAAACCUGAAGUAUGCAUAAUCAGGCAUGCUUGUGAUCAUCAAAAUUGUACAUAUACAUGCUUUUAAUUUGGUUCAUGGUGGUGCCAAACAGUAGUAGAGAUUAAUAGAAAUAGAUCGGAAAAAAACUCAAGAGUGAUUGCUUAUACUCUGAAUUUUUACUCUUGUACUAGCAUCUGUUAAUAUGCAUAAGAUGAUCCCUGGUCCCUGGUGUGUUAACUCUUGGUUAAUGUGUGGUGGGAUUUCUCUCCUCUAAAUUAGUUAAAGUCAUAACAUGUUUUGAAAAAAAACAUGAAGUUUUUUUUAAAAAAAAUCUAAGCCUUCUAACAUUUGAUCUGUAAAAGCUGUUUGUUGGCAUCUAUGUGCCAUGUACAGUUGGGAGUUAUGAAACAUGGCCCUUCUGUCUGUACACUGAAACAAUGUACAGUUCCUGAAAUUUAUCAAACUUGAGAUAGCAAAACAUGCAAAGGUUGGUGUGUCCAGGCCAGCACCUCAAAAAAUUUUAUCUGGAGCAUACUUUCAAGUUUAUUGCUUGCCUGUUUGGUCUGCUCAGGAACAAUUGCAGAUAUAUGGUUGUUUUCAUUUUGCAGCUAUCAUAUUCUUAUUCUGAUAUAAAAUUGCAAAUUGUGGCAUACAAACUGCAUGUAUUAACCAGCUACUUGCAGGUGAAUUUCAUAAACAUAUGGCCAGUGAUAGAUAGAAUCUUGUUUUGCAGUAAGCGAACUUAUAUUGUGUUAGUUUUCUAAUGGUCUAUGAACAAGUGCUCUUUAAACAUCGAUAUAUCUAUUUGUGCCUUAAUAAGCUUUGUGAUGGGCUGAUGGAUGCUUGUUUCUGAUCUCUGCCUUUUUUUGGCUUAUUGCCCUAGCUGUUUGCCUAUUUCAGUACCCAAGUACAAAGAUUUCUGCAGUCAUUAACAGAAUCCAUAUUCUUGACUGAUAUGGAGCUAAACACAAACACAGUAUAUUAUCAAAGGAGGCAGGGAGUACAAGAUAUUUCUUAAUGUAGUCUAAAUUCCCUACAUAUACUCUGUAUUCUAAAACCUAUUGUCUGAUCUAUGAGUUGUACGACAUUGUGAUUGGUCAAUACUUGAUGUAUCUGUAAUGGUCAAUGCCAAUCCAUGCUAGCACACCAUUUCUAUGAUCCAAAUCUCAAUAUUGUGUGUGGUCACUGGGUCAGACACCUAUUAUAUUUAUUUGAAGGUUCUCAUAAUCUGGUUAUUGUUUGGUGCCAACCUGUUGAAUGUACAUGGCAAGCUUAUUCUCGAGCUCAGGUAUAACAUGCACACUAUUUUUUUUUUUUGCAUUCAUCAUGCCUCUGUUGUCUAUUUCCAAUUCGUUCCGUUCAAGGUGCACUUUUCUGAAAAUGGAAGAACCGGUGAAUAAGCACCAAAUAUGGCUCUACUUGGUUCUGUUUAAAAUGGCUUAUGCAUCAGGGAAAUGAUGUGGUUUCUAUAUCAGGUGUGAUCUUAUAACUGCAUUCUCCUAUCAUUGCAUUGGCAGGUACACAAUGUUCACGCACACAUGCAUUUUCAGAUACUUUUCUUGUAUAUACUUUCACUCUUUCAGAGAAGUGAAAUGCAUCAUACUUAUAAGUCAUUAGUAAUUGGAAGAUACUAUGAUAUGGGAAGUAUCCCUUUUCAACUAUGAUAUGACCAGACGAACAUAUUCCAGCCUCCUACAACAUACCUAGGGUACUUGUGCUGGUUCCAAAAAUGUUGAGAUUUAACAAGAUUGCUCUUCAAUACUUCUGCAGUUGCCAUUCACUUCCAAGUUCUAUGCAAGUCAUCACUUGUCAAAUUUAUUGUUUGCAUGUUACAGUUGUCUUAUGUUUGGUUAAUGACAGAUGCUUUCUUAUGUCUUUGGGACAAUGCACAUGGAAAGCGGCAAGUAGGCGGCGUUGUGUUGGAGGAUGAGCAGGUGACAAGAUUAUAGUAAUAUGCCAAUAUUGUCUUUCAGGGUCUGUGCAGUUUGAUAAUUUUUUAGUAUCUUUGAUAGUAUGAAUAUUAGUCUUUGCUGAAAAAUUGGAGCUGGUGCUCUAAUCAUGCAGAAUUUGUAGUAGUUUCAAUAUGUGAGAAUUUGAAGCUGUCGUGCAAUGACCGCUUCUGUCGCUUGCUUGCGAUCAAAUCUGCAGUUGUGGGCUGUGAUGGUGUUGCAGGCUUCGAGAUAAGUAAACUUUUUUCUACAUAAUAAUAUGGAUUCAUGAAUGCUUUUAGCAGUUUCUGUGAUGAGAUAAUGAAAGUACUGAUGCCGGUUAACUUUGAAUAUGCUUCCUGAAGACCAAAUGUUGUUUAUUUUAUUAGAUAGCAAAAGAAAAGUACUGGUUUAGAGGAUGAUUGACAAAUAUCUAGGUUUGCUGCAAUGAGAAACAGGGGUUGACAUUGCUACGAGCCUCCACAUGUUAACGCAGCUGCUCUGCCAAUGCAUCUUGGGCAUGAGUUGAGGUAGGACACUGCUACCUUGGAGGCUAGACAAUCGGGAGAGUGCAGUGAUAACCAAUCUCCAAAGAAGGAUGGAUGCUUAUGGGUUCAUAAUUUAUAGAGAUUAGGGGAAGCAUGCAAGCCUUAUAAUAUAAAAGCAAUGCGACGGAUCAUGAUGAUGGCUGAUAAAAGUAAUGCUGCCAUUGCCAGACGCGUGGAGUGCUUGAACCUUGCUGUCUAAAUAUGUGUGUCUCACUAAUUCCUUUCUUUCUUUCCAAUAAACCCAUGGUAUGUUGGUAGACUUGUGAUACAUGUAUUUGACACAAAUUCAUUUAA